GUGCUUACUUUGGCAGCACAUAUAUUAAAAUAGGAACAAUACAGAGAAAAUUACCAUGGCACCUUACACAAUGUUCCAUAUUUUUUAGUCUCUUUGAUUUCAUUA